rnacentral:tRNA from 1 species
UAGAGUGUGGUGUAACAUGGUAGCACGGAGAUUUUUGAGUUCUCAGGUGAAGGUUCGAAUCCUAUGGCUCUAG